CCCUUAGACGUUCUGGGCCGCACGCGCGCUACACUGACCAGUGCAACAAGCAUCCGUCCUUGGCCGACAGGCCCGGGCAAUCUUUGAACGCUGGUCGUGAUGGGGAUAGACUUUUGCAAUUUUUGGUCUUCAACGAGGAAUUCCUAGUAAACGCAAGUCAUCAACUUGCAUUGAUUACGUCCCUGCCCUUUGUACACACCGCCCGUCGCUGCCCGGAACUGAGCCAUUUCGAGAAAAAUGGGGACAGACUGCUUGUGGGUGCGCAAGCACUUCUUGCAGAUUGAAACCAUCUUGAUCGGUAUGGCUUGAACCGGGCAAAAGUCGUAACA
rnacentral:rRNA from 1 species